UCGACUGGUGUUGGGGUGAGGUAGGGAGGAGGUGAUGCUAGUUAACCAAGUUUAAUACUAUUAGCAAGUUGUGUCAGAAUUCAAGGUGAUCUAAUUACUGUGAUUACAUCUGUUCUGCCACCAAUGUUUAGAAAGUCAUUAAACGUCAGCCGUGGUGGACGAUUCCUUAAAUGCAAAGACUUCUUGGCUCACCAAACAUCUUGCAGGAAAAAAAACAAACAAAAAAAACUACUACUACUACUACUACUACCUACUACUACUCUAAAAGUUCACCGCAAUAAUAAUAGUAAUAAUAAUAGUAAUGAUGAUGGUGUGAUGGUGAUGAUGAUGAUGAUGAUGAUGAUGAUGAAGGCAUUAUCUAUCAGUUUUCAAACCAAACCCUGUUAUUGUCUUAUAUUGCUAAUGUUACAGGAUUUUUCGAAAACUUUCAACUGGUUGAUUGAUGGAGGCGGAGUGGGGGACGAGAUGGUUUGGACAGAAUUUGAUGCGGAUGCUCUUCCUGUCACCAACUUCACAUUUGCAAUGAAGAAGAGAAAAAAACAAAAACAGAAGACGAAAAUGAAGAAAUAGAAAGGAAAAAAAAAAAAAGAGGAGACAAUAAGACAGAAGAGGAAAGAAGAAAAGAGAAGAGAAAAGUAAAAACUACGGCACAGACAAUCAAAGCCAUCUUCUGGCAAAAUGGCUGAGAUAAUCAGGGGUAACGAAGAAGGAGAGAAGGAAAGGAGUACUCAUUGGAAAUCAGAUUUCAGAGAAAAUGGUUUUCAUUUCCAAACAGCAUUCAUUUGGAAACUAAAAGUCGAUACAACAGACAUGAACGACAUCUAUGGAAUCGUGCUUAAUCCUUGGUUAGUUGUUGCAAAGAAUUUAAUUUAAUGGAUUUCAAAUUACUCUUUGGUUUUGAGAAAGAGAGAAGAACGAGAAAGAAGACAUUCAGCAGUGAAGAGAAUAAAUAAAAUAAAUAAAUAAAUACACCAAAGAAUCAAUAAUAAAAGAAUCUUACUAAUUUAUAACAGUGUGUUAUUUGUUGGGGAGGGAAAAAAAUACCAAAGUAAGAAAAUAAUGUUGUAAUUGGAACUUCAAGCAUUAUCCACACAGUAUUAUCAGUGACACAGUAUUGCUGACACAGCAUUGUCAAUAAUGUAGACUUGCUGACACAGCAUUAUUAACACAGCCUUGUCAAUAACAUUAUAGACGUAACAUUGUCAACGCUAUGAUCUUACUGGCAGAGCAUUAUUCACAGCAUUAUCAACACAGACUUACCCAGAGGCAGUAUAUACAAUACUGAAGAAGUAUGCACUCAAACUUAUCGAUACAACAUUAUCUUAGAGUAGGACUUGAAUUAUAUACCACAGAACCUCCCCAAACUAGACACCAAUAUUUAAGCAUUCUCUAAACCUAAUUAGAGAACCUAAGAAGAAAACCAAACAAUACCAAAGAAAGUGAUCCCCCACAAACUAUGAAUUAACAAACACUUUGCUUUUUACAAGAAUGAAAGAUAACCUAGAAUAAAAAGACUAAGAUAUGAGAAAUUCACAAUCAAGCAUAACAUAUAUGCAUUCUCAUCAUCAGCUGCCAAACAUAUCACUAUAGUUUUGACACAAUUUUGAAGCAAAUAAACAGCAUUAUUGACACAGUG